rnacentral:rRNA from 1 species
AGCGAACGCUGGCGGCAGGCUUAACACAUGCAAGUCGAGCGCCCCGCAAGGGGAGCGGCAGACGGGUGAGUAACACGUGGGAACGUGCCUUUUGGUUCGGAACAACCCAGGGAAACUUGGGCUAAUACCGGAUAAGCCCUUACGGGGAAAGAUUUAUCGCCAAAAGAUCGGCCCGCGUCUGAUUAGCUAGUUGGUGGGGUAAUGGCCCACCCAGGCUACGAUCAGUAGCUGGUCUGAGAGGAUGAUCAGCCACAUUGGGACUGAGACACGGCCCAAACUCCUACGGGAGGCAGCAGUGGGGAAUAUUGGACAAUGGGGGCAACCCUGAUCCAGCCAUGCCGCGUGAGUGAUGAAGGCCUUAGGGUUGUAAAGCUCUUUUAGCAGGGAAGAUAAUGACGGUACCUGCAGAAAAAGCCCCGGCUAACUUCGUGCCAGCCGCCGCCGUAAUAC